CUCUCCUCCCCUCCCAUCCCCUCCCCUGAUCUCAGAAGUCAAGCAAGACCGGACCUGGUUAGGACUUAGGUGGGAGAGCACUGAGGCCUACUGGGUGCUGUAGGGU
rnacentral:rRNA from 1 species